GUGCACGCUGGCGGUAGGCCUCACCCCUGCAAGUCGCACGGCAGCACAGUAAGAGCUUGCUCUUACGGGUGGCGAGUGGCGGACGGGUGAGGAAUACAUCGGAAUCUACUUUUUCGUGGGGGAUAACGUAGGGAAACUUACGCUAAUACCGCAUACGACCUACGGGUGAAAGCAGGGGAUCUUCGGACCUUGCGCGAUUGAAUGAGCCGAUGUCGGAUUAGCUAGUUGGCGGGGUAAAGGCCCACCAAGGCGACGAUCCGUAGCUGGUCUGAGAGGAUGAUCAGCCACACUGGAACUGAGACACGGCCCAGACUCCUACGGGAGGCAGCAGUGGGGAAUAUUGGACAAUGGGCGCAAGCCUGAUCCAGCCAUACCGCGUGGGUGAAGAAGGCCUUCGGGUUGUAAAGCCCUUUUGUUGGGAAAGAAAAGCAGCAGGUUAAUACCCCGCUGUUCUGACGGUACCCAAAGAAUAAGCACCGGCUAACUUCGUG
rnacentral:rRNA from 1 species